rnacentral:tRNA from 1 species
GAUCGUGUCGCCAAGUGGUUUAAGGCAUCUGUCCGCAAAACAGACAUACACAGGUUCGAACCCUGUCACGAUCUCCA